CAGGUCCUAUCAGUGAAUCAGACUGUGCCUACAGACAGUGUAUCUCGGCUGUGUGACGAAUUUGCAGACAUUUUUGCACCGGGCUUAGGUUGCGCUAAAAACUAUGAAGCACAUUUGGAACUGAAGGUAAACGCGCAACCGAAAUUUUUCAGAGCGCGCAAUGUUCCCCACGCAUUGCGUCAGGAGGUCGCAAGAACAUUGAACAAUGUAGAAUCACAAGGUGUGAGUGAAUGUGCGCAAUGCCUCUUCCAUUUCAGCUCCGCUUCAUCGCUUACGCCGUGCAGGUGUUCCGUUUCUCUGGACGACGGAAUGCGAACGCGCCUUUCGCCAGUUGAAAACGGCGUUGCUUUCUAAUACUUGCCUUACGCCAUUCGAUCCCCAGAAACCCCUUUUGUUGAUGGUAGAUGCAUCGGAUUUCGGGAUCGGUGCUGUGCUUGCGCACAAAGUUGGCUCCCAUGAUCGCCCUAUUGCCUUUGCGUCCAAAUUGCUCUCGUCUGCGCAAAGAAGUUAUUCACAGAUAGAGAAAGAAGCUUUGGCUCUCGUGUUUGGUGUUACUAAGUUCCAUGAUUUCUUGUAUGGUCGUCACUUUACCAUCAUCACAGACCACAAACCUUUGACAUCGCUUUUUCAUCCGACCAAGCCUGUACCUCCACGUACAGCGCAGAAAUUCAUUCGCUGGUCUAUUUUCCUCUCGCAGUACCGCUACGAUAUCUUGUAUCGGUCCACUGCUAAGCACGGAAACGCCGAUGCGUUGUCCCGUUUGCCUGUUGCUGAGGAUAAAGCAUUCGAUUCUUCCGAACUUGCUUGCAUGUUCAUUGAUUCGGAAACCGAUGAAGUGGUCGAAUCGUUUCCGAUUGAUUUUCGUCGUGUCGCUACAGCCACAGCUGCUGACCCUUCCUUGCUACUGUUUUACGUUUUGUUGCUACGCAAUGGCCUUUGUCAAAGUCUCGGAUCGAGGAUCCGUUGGUUCGCCGAUUUUUUGCUCACAAGGAGAGACUUUUUGUUCGACGUGGUGUUUUGUUGUUGCGUUCUGAUAAUGAUCAGUCCAGAGUCGUGGUCCCACGUUCGUUACAGUCCUCUGUUUUACGGCUUCUUCACCAAGGACAUUGGGGUAUAGUGCGAACGAAACAACUUGCUCGUCAGCACUGUACUUGGUUCGGAAUCGAUGCUGCGAUUACGAAUAUGUGUUCUUCGUGCCCGGCAUGUGCCGAACAACAGUCCGCACCGCCGCGGAAAGUCUUUGCGUGGCCAAAAGCCACUUCCCCUUGGCAACGCUUGCACAUUGAUUUUGCUGGUCCAUUCUGGAAUGCUCGAUGGUUGGUUCUGGUCGACGCCUUCAGUAAUUUUCCUUUUGUUGUCCGGAUGUCUUCCACGACGUCCUCUGCCACCAUCCAAGCGUUGUCUGCUAUCUUUUGCAUUGAAGGUCUUCCGCAGACUAUUGUUUCCGACAAUGGCCCACAAUUCAUGUCCGCGGAAUUUCAGUCAUUCUGCCAGGCCAAUGGUAUUCAACA